rnacentral:rRNA from 1 species
GAUGAACGCUGGCGGCGUGCCUAAUACAUGCAAGUCGAGCGAAUGGAUUAAGAGCUUGCUCUUAUGAAGUUAGCGGCGGACGGGUGAGUAACACGUGGGUAACCUGCCCACAAGACUGGGAUAACUCCGGGAAACCGGGGCUAAUACCGGAUAACAUUUUGAACCGCAUGGUUCGAAAUUGAAAGGCGGCUUCGGCUGUCACUUAUGGGUGGACCCGCGUCGCAUUAGCUAGUUGGUGAGGUAACGGCUCACCAAGGCAACGAUGCGUAGCCGACCUGAGAGGGUGAUCGGCCACACUGGGACUGAGACACGGCCCAGACUCCUACGGGAGGCAGCAGUAGGGAAUCUUCCGCAAUGGACGAAAGUCUGACGGAGCAACGCCGCGUGAGUGAUGAAGGCUUUCGGGUCGUAAAACUCUGUUGUUAGGGAAGAACAAGUGCUAGUUGAAUAAGCUGGCACCUUGACGGUACCUAACCAGAAAGCCACGGCUAACUACGUGCCAGCAGCCGCCGUAA